UACGAAGGGGGCUAGCGUUGCUCGGAAUGACUGGGCGUAAAGGGCGCGUAGGCGGUUUGUACAGUCAGAUGUGAAAUUCCUGGGCUUAACCUGGGGGCUGCAUUUGAUACGUGCAGACUUGAGUGAGGAAGAGGGUUGUGGAAUUCCCAGUGUAGAGGUGAAAUUCGUAGAUAGUUGGGAAGAACACCGGUGGCGAAGGCGGCAACCUGGUCCUUGACUGACGCUGAGGCGCGAA
rnacentral:rRNA from 1 species